rnacentral:rRNA from 1 species
UAAGGAAUAUUGGUCAAUGGACGAAAGUCUGAACCAGCCAUGCCGCGUGAAGGAUGAAGGUCCUCUGGAUUGUAAACUUCUUUUAUAGGGGACGAAAAAAGGGAAUUCUUUCUCACUUGACGGUACCCUAGGAAUAAGCACCGGCUAACUCCGUGCCAGCAGCCGCGGUAAUACGGAGGGUGCAAGCGUUAUCCGGAUUCACUGGGUUUAAAGGGAGCGUAGGUGGGCAGGUAAGUCAGUGGUGAAAUCUCCGGGCUUAACCCGGAAACUGCCAUUGAUACUAUCUGUCUUGAAUAUUCUGGAGGUAAGCGGAAUAUGUCAUGUAGCGGUGAAAUGCUUAGAUAUGACAUAGAACACCCAUUGCGAAGGCAGCUUACUACGGAACUAUUGACACUGAGGCUCGAAAGCGUGGGGAUCAAACAGGAUUAGAUACCCCGGUAGUCC